rnacentral:rRNA from 2 species
GCAGUCGAGCGCACUGGCCCAACUGAUAUGACGUGCUUGCACUGAUUUGACGAUGGAUUACCAGUGAGCGGCGGACGGGUGAGUAACACGUGGGCAACCUGCCCUGGAGCGGGGGAUAACAUUUGGAAACAGAUGCUAAUACCGCAUAAUAAUCAAAACCACAUGGUUUUGAUUUCAAAGAUGGCUUCGGCUAUCACUCCAGGAUGGGCCCGCGGUGCAUUAGCUAGUUGGUAAGGUAACGGCUUACCAAGGCGAUGAUGCAUAGCCGAGUUGAGAGACUGAUCGGCCACAAUGGAACUGAGACACGGUCCAUACUCCUACGGGAGGCAGCAGUAGGGAAUCUUCCACAAUGGGCGCAAGCCUGAUGGAGCAACACCGCGUGAGUGAAGAAGGGUUUCGGCUCGUAAAACUCUGUUGUUGAAGAAGAACGUGCGUGAGAGUAACUGUUCACGCAGUGACGGUAUUCAACCAGAAAGUCACGGCUAACUACGUGCCAGCAGCCGCGGUAAUACGUAGGUGGCAAGCGUUAUCCGGAUUUAUUGGGCGUAAAGCGAGCGCAGGCGGUUACUUAAGUCUGAUGUGAAAGCCUUCGGCUUAACCGAAGAAGUGCAUCGGAAACUGGGUGACUUGAGUGCAGAAGAGGACAGUGGAACUCCAUGUGUAGCGGUGGAAUGCGUAGAUAUAUGGAAGAACACCAGUGGCGAAGGCGGCUGUCUGGUCUGCAACUGACGCUGAGGCUCGAAAGCAUGGGUAGCGAAC